rnacentral:rRNA from 1 species
UAGCGGCACGCUUAACACAUGCAAGUCGAGGGGUAUAUCACUUCGGUGAUAGAGACCGGCGCACGGGUGCGUAACGCGUAUGCAACCUACCUUCAACUGGAAGAUAGCCCCGAGAAAUCGGGAUUAAUAUUCCAUAGCGUAUUGAGUCGGCAUCGACACAAUACUAAAGUCACAACGGUAAAAGAUGAGUAUGCGUCCUAUUAGUUUGUUGGUGUGGUAACGGCUCACCAAGACUUCGAUGGGUAGGGGGCCUGAGAGGGUGACCCCCCACACUGGUACUGAGACACGGACCAGACUCCUACGGGAGGCAGCAGUGAGGGAUAUUGGUCAAUGGGCGAAAGCCUGAACCAGCCAUGCCGCGUGCAGGAAGACUGCCCUAUGGGUUGUAAACUGCUUUUAUACAGGAAGAAACACCUCUACGUGUCGAGGGCUGACGGUAGCAAAUGAAUAAGGACCGGCUAACUCCGUGCCAGCAGCCGCGGUAAUACGGAGGGUCCAAGCGUUAUCUGGAUUCAUUGGGUUUAAAGGGUCCGUAGGGGGAUAAUUAAGUCAGAGGUGAAAGUUUGCGGCUCAACCGUAAAAUUGCCUUUGAUACUGGUUAUCUUGAGUUAUUGUGAAGUAGUUAGAAUAUGUAGUGUAGCGGUGAAAUGCAUAGAUAUUACAUAGAAUACCAAUUGCGAAGGCAGAUUACUAACAAUAUACUGACACUGAUGGACGAAAGCGUGGGUAGCGAACAGGAUUAGAUACCCUGGUAGUCCACGCCGUAAACGAUGGAUACUAGCUGUUGGGCUUCGGCUCAGUGGCUAAGCGAAAGUGAUAAAGUAUCCCACCUGGGGAGUACGGGCGCAAGCUUUGAAACUCAAAGGAAUUGACGGGGGCCCGCACAAGCGGUGGAGCAUGUGGUUUAAUUCGAUGAUACGCGAGGAACCUUACCAGGGCUUAAAUGUAGAUUGACAGGGGUGGAAACACUCUUUUCUUCGGACUCAUUACAAGGUGCUGCAUGGUUGUCGUCAGCUCGUGCCGUGAGGUGUCAGGUUAAGUCCUAUAACGAGCGCAACCCCUGUUGUUAGUUGCCAGCGAUUAAAGUCGGGAACUCUAACAAGACUGCCGGUGCAAACCGUGAGGAAGGUGGGGAUGACGUCAAAUCAUCACGGCCCUUACGUCCUGGGCUACACACGUGCUACAAUGGCCGGUACAAUGAGCAGCCACCCCGCGAGGGGGAGCGAAUCUAUAAAACCGGUCACAGUUCGGAUCGGAGUCUGCAACUCGACUCCGUGAAGCUGGAAUCGCUAGUAAUCGGAUAUCAGCCAUGAUCCGGUGAAUACGUUCCCGGGCCUUGUACACACCGCCCGUCAAGCCAUGGAAGCUGGGGGUACCUGAAGUCGGUGACCGCAAGGAGCUGCCUAGGGUAAAACUAGUAACUAGGGCUAA